UACGAAGGGGGCUAGCGUUGCUCGGAAUCACUGGGCGUAAAGGGUGCGUAGGCGGGUCUUUUAAGUCAGGGGUGAAAUCCUGGAGCUCAACUCCAGAACUGCCUUCGAUACUGGAAGCUCGAGUCCGGGAGAGGUGAGUGGAACUGCGAGUGUAGAGGUGAAAUUCGUAGAUAUUCGCAAGAACACCAGUGGCGAAGGCGGCUCACUGGCCCGGUACUGACGCUGAGGUGCGAAAGCGUGGGGAGCAAACAGG
rnacentral:rRNA from 1 species